CUAUAUUAAACUGAUUAUGGAGUAUAAUGCCCUCCUUCACCUUAUCUUGCUUUUGUGAAGUUAUAAUUUUAAUAUAUUUAUUAUGUAGAUAGAUUUUAUUGUAAUUUUAAUGUGUUUCGUUUUGUAGGCAUAAUAGCCCGGAAUUUGCAUGGGGAUUCCCAUACAGGCUGCUUCGUGGUUUGUCUGCAAUGGCUAUGGUGAUCUUCAGCGCAAUGCCGCUUAGCGUUCAGCUUUCGAUGCCGCAGUGUUUCUAGGGUUUUAUGAUCUCCGAGCUUCAGUUGAGAAGGAGGAAGAAUUGACGGUAUUGGGGCUUGGAUUCUGCGUUGUAGGAAGUUGUUGAAAUGUAUCCAGAGUCUCUUUUGCGGAGGAGCAGGGGUUUUGGGUUUCCGCGAGUCUUGAGAAUAUGAUCGUCUUGUGUCGGCUGCAGACCUUGAUUGAUCGUGUUUCUCCUUCAUUUGCCUCUUCAGUGCCGCCCCCCUGGUCGUUUCCCCCUUUCUCCGUCGACUACAUUGUAGUCUUGGGAGUUUACUUGCCCUGCUUUGGUUCUUUUGGGUUGUUGCUCUUGUUAGCUUCUGUGAUUUGGCGCAGAGGAGUGCUUGGGAGCUUGUUCGAAGAUGAUGUCCGCUGUUUUCGUCCCUGCACGGAGCCUCCCACCAUGUGGAUUUUCUCCCACUCGUCCUCCUGGCUUCCUUCCUCCCCGCCGCCUCGCCGUUCGCGCUGCCAAACGCUCGUAUCUCAAUGCUGAGCAGGAUGUCCGUCCUUCCGUUCCCUCCAUUCUCAGAAUCCUGAAUGCUAGCCAGGUCUCCGUUGUGCAGAUUCUCGAGAGUCUGUCGCCCUCUAUGAAGUUAACUGAUUGGCUUUCACUUUUGGAAGGUCUUGCAAAUCAAAGCAAGUGGGCACUUACACUUGAGGUUUUCAGGUGGAUGCAAAGGCAGAAAUGGUACAAUCAUGAUGACGGAUUCUAUGCCAAGCUGAUCGUUAUCUCAGGAAAGGCCAGAGAUCUCCGGAUGGCUGUAUGGCUCUUCAAUGAGGUGAAACGAAGCGGUAGUCGACCUGACUCGUCUUUGUACAAUGCACUUAUCACCGCUUAUCUUCACAGCAGAGAUAAAGGAAGGGGAUUUGAAGCAGCUAUGAAGCUUUUCGAAAAGAUGAAGCAAAAACCAAAAUGCCAGCCCAAUUUGGUGACGUACAAUAUACUUCUCAGGGCUAGUGCACAAUUGGGUGAUGUUGUCCAAGUGGACAGAUUCUUUAAGGAGAUGGAGGCAGCGAAGAUCUAUCCUGAUCUUGUUACUUAUAACGGAGUCAUUGGUGCUUAUGCCGAGGCUGGAGACUAUGUACAAAUGGAAAUGACGCUGUUUGUCAUGAGAAUACAGAAACACAUAAAGCCUGACAAUGUGACCUCUAAUACUCUCAUCGGUGCAUAUGGCCGUGGAAAGGACUUUGUUAAGAUGGAGCAAGUGCUUAAAAGUAUGACAGGUUCUAAGUCUAAACACAGACCUGAUUUGAAAACGUAUAACCUCCUAAUGAGCAGUUACGCCCGGGCACAAGAUAUGGAGAAUAUGCUAUGGUCCUUCAGCAGGAUGGAAGAAGCAAGCUUCAAGCCUAAUUUCAGAAGUUUUGAGAUACUUAUGUAUGGAUUUGGCGGCGUGGGUGAUUUUGAAAAGAUGCGUGAGUGUUUCCAUCAAAUGCUUGAGGCUAGCAUAAAGCCUCAAACCUCUACGUUGAAUACUAUGAUUAGUGCAUAUUGCAAGCACAACUUUUUCGAAGAAGCAGAAGAACUUCUCAAAGAAGCCUUGGAGUGGCAAAUACAUCCUCGGACAUCAUCAUACCUAAUCAUUCUUAGGGCUUAUGCAAGAGAUAAUCGAUUAAAUGACAUGGAGAGGCUAAUCGAACGCAUGCGAAUAGCUGAUGUUGCACCAGUAUCAGCUUCGUUUUUGAAAUCUCUUGAACAUUUUGGCUUGGCAAACUGGAGCGAAGUCCAGCUUACUGAAUCCACUGUGGAGGGUCUAGCCGAAGAAGAUGAUGUCGACGUGGAUUUAUUUGAAGGAUCCAAGAAUUCAAGUGUAUCUAGCUCCCAAGUUCCGUAUUUCUCGGAUGAUACAGAUGAUUAGUAGUCUGAAAGAGCUACUUACAGUCUAUGCAGCUUGUGGUGGUCACACUCACGGCUUGUUUCUGGUGUGAAGUAACUGAAGAAUACCCAGAUGAAAUCUUGUGUUGGAUGUUAAGCAUCUGCUAUACCCGCUUUUUGAGAAGAAGAUAAUCAGUUUGCUGAAGAGGCUGUGGUAAGAGGAAAAUUUCUGGGAGUGCAAUUAUUACCACUGGAAAGGGGAGCCGUAUGUCGCAUUUUUUUCUUAAUCCAGAUAUCCCUUCUUCUGGACUCUACGAGCGGAGCAAUUACAGAUUCCAGUGAAUUUAAUCUCAAUCUGCUGCUGACUGCAAAUGCUCUGCCUUUGUAGACUGAUGAGUUGCAAGUCUAAGGAGGCUGUUUAGGACACUGUUUUAUCAAAUUUGCUCAUUCUUGCACCUGAUAUAGCUACUUGUCUGUAUGUUGACAUUGACGAACAGGCUACAAACUCGGUAUAAAUAGGACUUGUUGAUAUUCAUAUGUGGAGACCAAGCAUGUAAUACCUGGGCCCUUCAAAUACUUUUGUAAUGUAAUUGAAUUUACAUAUUGUUAAUCUCUA